rnacentral:rRNA from 1 species
GAUGAACGCUGGCGGCGUGCCUAAUACAUGCAAGUCGAGCGAACGGACGAGAAGCUUGCUUCUCUGAUGUUAGCGGCGGACGGGUGAGUAACACGUGGAUAACCUACCUAUAAGACUGGGAUAACUUCGGGAAACCGUAGCUAAUACCGGAUAAUAUUUUGAACCGCAUGGUUCAAAAGUGAAAGACGGUCUUGCUGUCACUUAUAGAUGGAUCCGCGCUGCAUUAGCUAGUUGGUAAGGUAACGGCUUACCAAGGCAACGAUGCGUAGCCGACCUGAGAGGGUGAUCGGCCGCACUGGAACUGAGCCGCGGUCCAGACUCCUACGGGAGGCAGCAGUAGGGAAUCUUCCGCAGUGGGCGAAAGCCUGACGGAGCAAGGCCGCGUGAGUGAUGAAGGUCUUCGGAUCGUAAAACUCUGUUAUUAGGGAAGAACAGAUGUGUAAGUAACUGUGCACAGCUUGACGGUACCUAAUCAGAAAGCCACGGCUAACUACGUG